UUAAAACACUGGUUCUUGUAUGAUCACCAAAGUUAAGGCUGGUUUAGUCUGGUCAGUAUCUAGAUGGGUGACCACUUGGGAAUAACAGGUGCUGUAAU